UUUUAAAUUUUAAAAAUUUAAAAGAAUUGAAAAAAAUACAGAGAUGAUCAGCAGUUCCCCUGCAUAAGGAUGAACCGUUUUUAUUAUAAUCAAAAAGGAUUAAA
rfam:Hanseniaspora valbyensis NRRL Y-1626 HANVAscaffold_444, whole genome shotgun sequence.